GGGUAUACGAACAAGGACGAACAAGGGUACUUUGAUAAUUACAAGGUCAUAUAGGAAUAAAUUGGUAAUUUGGUCAUCAAUCUUUUCCAAGAAAACACGUGUACAGCAUAUUACUGUAUAAAACUAUUCUCUCCCACCUACCUUACAUGCUCUUCUCAUGAGGAGGCUAACAGUCCAGUACUGCCUCUAAUUUCUAAUCAAUUUUGCACAAAUUGGGCCAGCGUGCUUCAAAUUUCUACUGUCAAUUUAUCUUCCAUUGAUCUUCGUUGUUUUACUACUGACUCCCGAAAAAUUUACCAAAGUUUCUUAUAGUUAUUCUAGAAAUUCCGGUGGUCAGUCUCUGUAAUUUCUUCUCACUUUUUUCUUCUCUUUCUCUAUUCCAGACUUUCUAUGUUCAUUUUUCAAAUUAUGCUCUUUCUACCGGUGAGUUUUUUUUCUGCAAUCUUUAUUUGGUUACUGUAUUUUCUUUGGUGAUUACCAUUUGCUGGGUAUUAGUUAGUUUCUUAUUCUUUUGGUGGGUAUCCGGUAAUAUUUUUGUUCCCUCGGAUUAUUAUUGUUUGAUUUUGUUCAUGCAUGUCAAUAAUGUUUUUGAUUUGCUCAUGCAUGUUUGGGAAUAGAUACCCAGUAACCCAGGUGCAAGUUUGUGCUGUAAAUUCUAUCUGUUAUUGGAGUAGAGUCAAAAUUCUUCUUUUUCCGUUUAAUUAAAAAAGCAUCUAAGAUCGAUGAAGCCUCCUUUAUAUUUUGAUUUUCAUUUUAUUGAUGUCUACUGUUAUUUCAUCAGUUUCCUCUCAUUUCUAAGUAUAAUUAUGCACUAUUGAUGUUUUUUCAUUGUGUUUUACUGAAAAGUGUAAGCAUGUCAUUUUUGUUUGCUUUUCAAGCUACCAGGGAAAAGUUUAGGAAUUUCUUUUUCCUUAGUGAUGCAGUCGUGAUUUGUAGUUGUGAUAAAUGUUCAUUGUUUAUGCAGUGAGGAAUCAAGAAAAAAUUUAACAAGAAAAAUCCUAAUACGAAGGUUGUAUCAGCUGUAAGCCUUCGUGAUUAUUUCAUAUGCGCUGCUUCCUUUUUAUUGGUACUGAUAACCUUGUGGUUCCCUUUUGGGUCAGAGUUCUCCCCUCCCUCCUUCUUUCAGGGCCAUAGGUCUGCAGCUUCCCAUGAGAAAGGACAGCCAACACAGAAGAACUGAUUUUCCGGUAGAAUCAAUUGAUGACCCGUAAAAAACUUUGUUUAUGACUUAAUAUUUUUGGAGGUGACAUCUCUGUAAAAGAAGAUACUAAAUUUUAUUGAUGAGUUUUUGCAUUAGACAUUUAUAUAUUUUAUUAGUCUUAAUUCUAUUAAAUUUCAUCAUAUCCAUUAUUAUUUGUUUGCUUUGUGUACACUCAGACUUUGCUCUUUCCUGUGAGGUAUUUCAGGAAGUUGAGAAAGAUGAACAACUAGAUUGAAACAUCAUAUGAAGACCCCAAUAGCAUAUAGUAAAUUUUCUAUUUAAAGGUUUCUUUUAACUUUCCUUUUUGUUGUAUUAUAAUAUCGUAUCCUCAUUAUCUGCUAUAAUCUUCAUUGUUGGAUGAGUAUUGUGAUUUGUGCUAACAUAUAACUUGCAAUAAUCUUCGUAUUGUUGGAUGUACUAAAUCAUCCCUGAUUCUGCUGAAAGUGAAUGGUUUUUAAGUUGGUUUUUCACGUGUGGCUUUUUGAGAAGUUCAAUUACAUUGGGAAGAGCAAACACUAUAUACGAAUUGGUCAAAGGUUUGCUUGAGCUUCUCAUUCUUUGAAAGAUGUAUUAGAUGCAUUAGAAAGAUUGUGUGAAGAUACCAUUUAAGUGUUGUUUAACUAUAGGAUAGGCCAAAAGAAUGGGAAG
rnacentral:lncRNA from 1 species